rnacentral:rRNA from 1 species
UACGUAGGGUGCGAGCGUUGUCCGGAAUUACUGGGCGUAAAGAGCUCGUAGGUGGUUUGUCGCGUUGUUCGUGAAAACUCACAGCUCAACUGUGGGCGUGCGGGCGAUACGGGCAGACUGGAGUACUGCAGGGGAGACUGGAAUUCCUGGUGUAGCGGUGGAAUGCGCAGAUAUCAGGAGGAACACCGGUGGCGAAGGCGGGGUCUCUGGGUCCCUACCGACGCUGGGGUGCGAAAGCAUGGGGGAGCGAACAGG